CAUUUUUUGUGAAAGGACUGUUUGGAAAUGUAAUCAUGUUCAUGUAAUUUUACUUUUUUCCUCUAAAACAAAGGGAAACAUUUGGAGUUGUCAUUAUUUGUAGGUUCUUAUGAUCAUAUUUGACUGAUCUGACCCACUUGAGACUAAAGUAGGGC